UUUUCCUUAGUAAUCGCAGCAAUAGUUGGAACGCUCGGAGCUGGUGGAGCCGUGGUCGCUGCCCCUUUUGUUCUGGGGGCCGUUGGAUUCACCGCGGCCGGAAUCACGGUGGGCUCAUAUGCUGCAGGCAUGAUGUCUGCAGCUGCCGUAGCGAACGGAGGGGCGGUGGCAGCGGGCACUACAGUGGCCGUGUUGCAGGCAGCAGGUGCGGCUGGACUGGGGGCCGCAGCUACUGCUGCAACUGCUACUGGAGGAGGAGCAGCGGCCGCUCUCCUGGCUCUCCUCUUCUAAAAUCAACCGGAACUUAAUAAAUAUGCUCUCCUCUUAUCCAACCGAUUUGUUGAUUCGUUAUUUGCAUUAGGCUACACAAUGGCAUAAAAAAUAUAUGUAUCCCCAUUUCCCUUAGCAAUCCUUGCUAACAGUGGAAUAGGGCUAGUGUAUCGUUUCAAGCAUGUCAGUUGACUUUGUUAAACUAAAUUCUGGAGCGAAAUUUGUUUCUCGUUGAUUGUGCUUAUGCAAUGUAGCCAUCUAAAAAAUUCAAUAAAAACAUUACAGCAUA